rfam:Rhizobium sp. NT-26 plasmid NT26_p1, complete genome.
CACAUGGGGUCGCGAUCACCCCACGAGGCGUCAUGCUAGAGAAUCGCGUCCAUUGACCCGGCUAACGGAGGACGCGCGAUG